AUGGCCGCAGAACUUGCAGGAUUAGUGUUCCUGCCUGCACCCUGUGUUUUGUCUAUUGAAUAUGCUGCCUUUAUUUAUCUCUAAUCCAUCUGCCCAUUUUAUUAAUGAGGAAUUCUCUGUUGUGAAGAUAAUCGGUGUUUCCGGCAUGACGGCUUUGGGAAAGUGCCAGCUAAGGGCAGAGAUGUGACAUUUGAAUUGGAGCAGAUACUUUGUGUUUGUCAUGUUAAUGGCUGCAUAGUAUUCCAUCUCAAGACACUCUCUGUUUCCUACUUGCUGGACAUUUGAGGACUCCCAGCUCACCCUUCUUACAAAGAAGACUGCCGUGGACAUCUUUGGGCAUGUGACCAGGUCUCAUGCGUCCCAGAUUGGCCUGUAACUCACUGUCUACCUAACGGCGACCUUGAACUCCUGACCCUCUGCCUCCACCGCCUCAUGCUGGGACUGCAGGUGUGCUCCGCCGUGCCUGGUUUUACACAGCGUUGGGGACUGAGGGAUUCACGUCUGAUGAAGAAACUGAGGUGCAAAAAGACUAAAGGUGCAGACAGUAACGUGGGAACCCAUCUUGCUUGGCCAGUCCACCUCACUCUACACAGGCUCUCCUGAGGGAAACCAAUGCUUCUGAGGAGGGAGACCGCAGAGUCAGAACAGCUGGUCUAACACUUCCUUUCUGUAUCUUUGGACUCAAAUCGUGAAGAGGGAAAGCCUGACUGGCUCGUCUGAAUCAGGGGAUAGGGACUCCAGAAGUAAGGGCCCAACGAACCAUGAUGGGGCAGGAGCAGGUAGGGGAAUCCAAGAGGUACAGGACCAUGAGGGUUGGUGAGCGACUAUAAUGGUGUCCCAGCUUGCACUUUGCUAGAAAAAUUAUGUGAAGGGCAGCUGGAAGGCUCAGGAGCUAAGGGUGGUUGCCACAAAGACUGGCAACCUGAGUUCAGUCCCAGUGGCAAAAAGAGAGAACUCAUUCCUGCUAUUUGUCCUCUGGUUUCCAUACACAAACACGCACACACUCACGCACCCACAUGCACACAUAUACACACACUCAUGCACACGCACCCACAUGUACACCACACAUACACAUGCUAUACACACAAUA